rnacentral:rRNA from 1 species
AAGGGUGAGUAACGCGUGAGCAACAUACCCGUAUCAGGGAGAUAAUACAGGGAAACUUGUUCUAAUAUUCCAUAAUAUUAUCCAGAGGCAUCUUUGGAUACUUAAAGUUACGACGGAUACGGAAUGGCUCGCGUGACAUUAGUUAGAUGGUAGGGUAAUGGCCUACCAUGACUAUGAUGUCUAGGGGUUCUGAGAGGGAGGUCCCCCACACUGGAACUGAGACACGGUCCAGACUCCUACGGGAGGCAGCAGUGAGGAAUAUUGGACAAUGGAUGGAAAUCUGAUCCAGCCAUGCCGCGUGCAGGAAGGCGGCCCUAUGGGUUGUAAACUGCUUUUGUACGGGAGCAAUAAGGUCUACGAGUAGAUUGAUGAGAGUACUGUACGAAUAAGCAUCGGCUAACUCCGUGCCAGCAGCCGCGGUAAUACGGAGGAUGCGAGCGUUAUCCGGAUUUAUUGGGUUUAAAGGGUGCGUAGGCUGUUAUUCAAGUCAGUGGUAAAAGGUACAGGCUUAACUUGUAUGCGCCAUUGAUACUGAAUAGCUGGGAUAUGGAUGAAGUGUGCGGAAUGUGUGGUGUAGCGGUGAAAUGCAUAGAUAUCACACAGAACACCGAUAGCGAAGGCAGCACACUAAGGCAAUAUUGACGCUGAGGCACGAAAGUGUGGGGAUCAAACAGGAUUAGAUACCCUGGUAGUCCACACUGUAAACGAUGAUAACUAGCUGUUGGCGAUAGAAUGUCACGAGCGAAGCGAAAGCGAUAAGUUAUCCACCUGGGGAGUACGGCCGCAAGGUUGAAACUCAAAGGAAUUGACGG